UACGGGGGGGGGGCAAGCGUUGUUCGGAAUUACUGGGCGUAAAGGGCUCGUAGGUGGCCAACUAAGUCAGACGUGAAAUCCCUCAGCUUAACUGGGGAACUGCGUCUGAUACUGGAUGGCUUGAGUUUGGGAGAGGGAUGCGGAAUUCCAGGUGUAGCGGUGAAAUGCGUAGAUAUCAGGAGGAACACCGGUGGCGAAGGCGGCUUUCUGGGCCUUACCUGACGCUGAGGAGCGAAAGCUGGGGGAGCGAACAGG
rnacentral:rRNA from 1 species